rnacentral:rRNA from 1 species
GACGAACGCUGGCGGCGUGCUUAACACAUGCAAGUCGAACGGCAAACCAGUGAGCUUGUUCCCUUCGGGUUAGUGGCGCACGGGCGAGUAACGCGUGCACCAUAUUCUCCGAUUUCGGGGAUAAUCGCUGAAAACGACGUAUAAUACCGGAUCAGACGCGGUAGGGCUUCCAGCCCGGGAGGAUAGAACCUCGGGCGGGGAUGAGCGCGGGGCCUAUCAGCUUGUUGGUGGGGGAACGGCUCACCAAGGUGACGACGGGUAGCCGGCCUGAGAGGGUGACCGGCCACACUGGGACUGAGACACGGCCCAGACUCCUACGGGAGGCAGAAGUGGGGAAUAUUGCACAAUGGGCGCAAGCCUGAUGCAGCAACGCCGCGUGAGGGACGACGGCCUUCGGGUUGUAAACCUCUUUUGGCAGGGAAGAAGCGAAAGUGACGGUACCUGCAGAAAAAGCACCGGCUAACUACGUG